GUUACUACCAUCUAAUUCCCAACAAUUGUAUUGCUCUUUAUAAAGAUGCUGGAGACAUGAACGAAAGCCAGAAACUGGCAGCAGUGGAAGUUAUUCAGGUUGGCCCUAUUACCUAUGCAAGGACUAAGACUCUAGCUCCCCUGCUGCUAAUGCCCCAAAUAGUCAUGGAAAGAUAUGGUCACCCAUUAAAAUGAGUGAGGAAGAAUGUAACACCUAUUCAUGCUGACUCCCAACAAGAGAACCAUCCUCUACAACUUCCAUGUUGUAGUCCUCCUAAUGGUGGUCCUCCGAAAGGUCAACCCUUAACACAAUGCUUUGGAUGAGUAUAGACACUGCAAACAAGCACCAAAAUCUUAUCCCAACUCUAAGGCAAAGUGGGUAAAGCAUCAAAGAUUCACACUGCUUUACUGAAGGAAGGAAGGAAGAGUUGAUUCAAAAUCAGAACAUUGUACAGCAGUACAUGACAAGUUGACAAGUUAAAGAGACUUUGGGUGAUGCAAGACAAUGACCCAAAGCAAACAAGUCUUGUGAACAAUAAAUAUUGUCUGUGAGUAAACACAGUAGAAACAGGAUAAAACCAAUGUAAUUAAAUAAAACUGGAUGAGAUUAAAUAAAUGUGAAAAAGUGUUUACGUUUCUGCAACUUGAAGGAAUGAAGAAUUAUAAAGAGGAAAACAAUUUAGGUAAAAGACAUAUAAAGGCAGUACCUACUGUAAAAUAAUCUUUUCUAAAGGGUAGAGUCACACAUUGUUUUUUCAGAUAUAUUUGAUUUGUAAAAAUGCAACCAUUUUUUAACAUUAAUGUGCUGUAUGUAAGUCUAUGGGAAAUUGGUUGUGCACACAAUAUGUGAAAAAAACAUACACAGUUUUGUAGCAGCAUAAAUGCCA